rnacentral:rRNA from 1 species
AGUGAACGCUGGCGGUAGGCCUAACACAUGCAAGUCGAACGGCAGCACAGUAAGAGCUUGCUCUUACGGGUGGCGAGUGGCGGACGGGUGCGGAAUACAUCGGAAUCUACUUUUUCGUGGGGGCUAACGUAGGGAAACUUACGCUAAUACCGCAUACGACCUCCGGGUGAAAGCAGGGGAUCUUCUGACCUUGCGCGAUUGAAUGAGCCGAUGUCGGAUUAGCUAGUUGGCGGGGUAAAGGCCAACCAAGGCGACGAUCCGUAGCUGGUCUGAGAGGAUGAUCAGCCACACUGGAACUGAGACACGGUCCAGACUCCUACGGGAGGCAGCAGUGGGGAAUAUUGGACAAUGGGCGCAAGCCUGAUACAGCCAUACCGCGUGAGCGAAGAAGGCCUUCGGGUUGUAAAGCCCUUUUGUUGGGAAAGAAAAGCAGCAGGUUAAUACCCCGCUGUUCUGACGGUACCCAAAGAAUAAGCACCGGCUAACUUCGUG